rnacentral:lncRNA from 1 species
CACUUCUGUGCAGAACCAUGUUAUUAGCUUCAUUAGUUCCAAGACAACUUUUAACUAAUCUUUGGAAAUUGAAUUUCUCAGUUGAACUAAACCUAUGAAACCAUGAGUAAAUAACAGAUUACAGUACAAUGAUGUCAAGCAACACAAGUACACCAGUCCCCUUCGCUCUCCAAUCAUUGUUUCUCCUCUGCUACACCUCCGUGCCAUGUGUCACCCUGCCUUGGAGCCAGCUGAUUAUAGACUGAAACCUCUACAAACAGGGAAUGCAGCUAAGAGUUUGCCUUAAAUCUCAGAGAAGACAUUGGACUUGAACUUUCAGCAAUGUUGAAACUGAAGCAUCUUGGAACUUGUCAAGUUUUACUGGAGGUGAUUUGCAGUUAAUUAAUUCAACAGACA